UACAGAGGGUGCAAGCGUUGUUCGGAAUUAUUGGGCGUAAAGCGCGUGUAGGCGGCUUUGCAAGUCGGGUGUGAAAGCCCUCGGCUCAACCGAGGAAGUGCGCCCGAAACUGCAGAGCUUGAGUACCGGAGAGGAUGGCGGAAUUCCCCAAGUAGAGGUGAAAUUCGUAGAUAUGGGGAGGAACACCGGUGGCGAAGGCGGCCAGCUAGACCAGUUCUGACACUGAGGCGCGACAGCGUGGGGAGCAAACAGG
rnacentral:rRNA from 1 species